AAAAAAACCACAAAACAAACCAAAAAAUACCUUUAUGUAAUCGCUGAUCAAGAUUUUGGAAAAAGCAUUUUAAAGACUAUUUGUUUCCCUUAAAAAUACAGUACAGGUUCAAAAUCUUUACAGUUGGUCCCUAAGCAUCUGUAUUUUUAAACUUCCACAGAUUUCUGAUGGGCAGCCAAGGACUGUGAGCCACUUACCUAAAGGCAACAUCAAGGCAAAGCGGUCCCCAAAUAGCAAUAGAGGUAUCCCUUGGUACCAAAUAUAUUCAUUUCCAGGUUUGGAUAUAAAGGAUAUUAUCUAUUUGACUUUUUUUCUUAGUUUUGGAUAGUGUGUAGCAGGAGUUCUAAAGACUUAUCCAAAUUUCUUGAACAGUGGGAUACCUGUAGUGUGAAACCACUUUCAAUUAUACUUCUGCCUAAUGCGCUGAGCUGGAACUAACUUACACUACAGGUGAGGAAAAGAGUUUAGGAAAAUUAGAAAUUAUUGAACAAACUUUUAGAGCUUCUUGAAACAACAGAAGCUUUAAUUAAUAUGCAAACAGUGGAUAGAAAGUAUGGUUUAACUAAGCCCCAUUAGGCCUUUAAAAAUUAUUGCUUUAUCUGAGUAAUCCAUAAAUACAUGUUUAUUGUGAAAUUUUCAAAUAUUACAGAAAUAUAUGGAAGAGUUAUGAUUUCCCUUUAUUUUAUCCUCCCAAAUGUUACCAGUGUUUAUGUUUAAUAAUAUAUAUCCUUUCAUGCUUUUUUUCUGUGCACUUAACUGUGAAUAUGUAAAGGGUUUGUUUUGUACAUAAAUGGGAUUAUACUAAAGUAUUGCUUAUUUUUAAAGAUAGGUUAAAUUUGUGAAUCAUUAUUUCAAAUGUAUGGAAUAAAGUAAGACAAAAGCUGUUUUUAUUUACUGAUUAUUAUGUCCUUAAAAUAUUUGUAUUAUAAGAGCACAGUUCUUUCUACUUACUGCUGAUGAUAAAAUAUGUAUCGAUUGUAUUAUUUUUCUUGUAAAUGAAAAUUUUAAAACAGAUUUACAUGUUACUUAAAAUUUUGUAUAGUUUAGAAAAGGACUUAAAAUUGUUAACACAAGGAAAAGGGUUUUUUUUUUAUAAAAUCUGUUAGCAACUCAAAUACAUGAAUGCAGAUGUUAGCUCUUGAAUGACACUGCUCAGUAUAUCCUGAUUAGAAAAAAUCUCUAAGCAAAAAAGCAUGGUGCAACAUAAUUUAUUAUAAUACACCACUGUUUAUAUGAAAAUAGACAAAAUACGAAAAUACGCAAAAGGAUACUCAAGAAAGUUAAUGCUUUUGGGAAGGAUAACUUGAUGGUUAAGAACAGGGAAUAAAGGAGACAUAUACACCCAUUACCUUUUGAAUUGAAAUUUUGUACAUAUAAAUUACAGUCAACCUAGUGUGCAGCAGUCUUUACAAAAAGUGUACCUAUGUAAUUUAAGUUAACCUAAUUUUACACCAUAACAUCUUGAAGUCGUCCAGUGCUUUCUCUCUUGCUUACAGAUUCAGUGUGCAGUUUGGUGUCUGGCACGUAGCUUGCUUGCCUACUGUAUUGAGGGAAUGAAUCUACUCGCCAUAGAGGUUCUGUGUUUCUGUAGAAAGAAUGGGUAACUUCUUAGUUGGUUCUAUAAUUUCACUCAUUCAUUUAGAUACACAUACGUCAAGCCCUCAACCCCAGUGCCUGGUGUAUUGCGAGCACCACGUGGUUCAGAAGAGAAAUAGUUCUCGGUGGGAGAGUCAGAAGGGGCUACAUGAAGGAGGCAGCUCCCAGGGAAAGGAGCACCUAUGAUGACAAAAACGGGGACGGAUUGGAGCCCUGGUCCAGGAAGGUCCCACGUGCCGUGGAGCAACUAAUAAGCCCAUGCGCCACAACUACUGAGCCUGCACUCCUAGAGCCCCUGCUCCACAAGGGAAGCCACCGCAAUGAGAAGCCCGCGCACUGCAACGAAGAGUAGACCCUGCUCACCGCAACUAGAGAAAGGCCGCGCGCAGCAACGAACACCCAACGUAGCCAAAGAGAAUUUUUUAAAAAUGAAACUAGCUUAACUACACAGAAUUAUUUGAACUCGGAGGAUCUAGAAAACUCUUAAUUCGAUGUUCAUACCAACAACUGUAGCUUCACUAUUCUGAGGCGUGCAUGAUUCACUUUUGGAAAAGCUUAUAAAUUAUGGUCUGUGAAGGGAAGUCGUGUUUACUUUCUCUUUUGCAGUUUAUUUACAUCCUCAUUCCCUAGACCUGCACUUGAGUCAACAAGUGAAAGCAAAACAAAUAAAUAUACUCGAAAAGCAGACCAUUCUGCUUUUCUCUGAAAACUUUUUGAGAAACCCGGCAUGGGACACUUCUUGUGGCCCACUGGUCAGCCAGCCUCACCUUCUUAUCCAUCCACAUUCGAGUGGCCAGUUCCGCAAGGGCUUCAACCAGCAGCAACGCUUGCUUGCUUCCUUAUCAGCUCCGUGGGAAGAGGUGCUGGCACUCAACACAGCCAACAGAAACGCUUCCCCCUUUUCCUCCUUCCUUUCUCCCUCUGACCCCUCCAAGCUUCUGUGAUAGUUCACUCACCACCUCAGGCAGCCCCAAACUGGCCUAUAGGACUUGGGAUCCCCCUUCCCAGCUUGCUGCCCCUGCACCUGUCACCUCUCUCUCAAACCCUGUGCUGAAUGAAGCCUUUGUUUCAGGCUCUGCUUCCUGAGAAAGCCACUCUAAGAUGAGAAAGUCCAUAGUAGGUUAAAUGAGUAUUGACUAGCAAUAUUCUUAGGCGACUUGAUUUAAUGAAGAAAUACAACCUUAAGAAACUUGGGUUUUCAAAGUAUUUAAGUAUACUUGCUACCUCAGUUUUCAAAUAAAACUUUCAAAGUGUUUUAUUUAACUUAAGAAAACUGAGUCAUUUAAUCUAUAAAUUAUUCUUAUUCUACACAUCCCCAUUUCAUUGAAUGACUGCUGAGAAAAAUGACAGGACUAGCUCUCAAACCACUCAGAGCUAGGUUCAAAUCCAAAUUCUACCACUUACUAGUUGCGUGACCCCCGUUUUAUUAUAUAUGUAUGUAACGUAGGGAAAAGGACAGCACCUACCCCACAGAUGAUAAUCCCCGGGUGGUGUUUAAUUGCACACACACUAGAUUUCCUGACUGGGUAAAAACCAUGGCAAACAACUCUUAAUUUUAGGAGUCUACUUAAACUCCUCUUAAGAUGUAUAUGCUAUAUUACUUGGUUAAAGCCCUAGAGCCAAAGAAUCACCAGCAGAAUCAAGAGACAAAAUUUAAUAUAUGCACACAGUUUUAUAUAUAAUGCAGCAUCACACCAUGUAGGGCAUUUACUCUUAUUUUAUACAUUCAGAUAUGUUUGAAACACUUCUUAAGGCUACAAAACAGAACAUAGAAAAAUAAACAGGAAUAUAUUCAACACUUACAAAAAGUGAUAUGAUAAAGAAUAUAAAGUACUAUUUUCCUUUCAACACUUCAAAAGAUGUAUAUAUACUUUUUUUUUUUUACAAGUAACAUCACAAAUGAUCACAUCUUCACAUGCUUUAAGUAUUAUUUGUACUCAGUGUAAGGCUAUUAUCAUUUUUCAUACAUAAAUUUUUUUCUAGCUCUGUAACAAUGCAAUUUUUAAUCCAUUCAAGUAAAUUCAACCCCAAAGUCGCUGUUUCCCAGCAUUAAGACAUGCACCCACCCCUCGUGUAGGAUUUUCCUAAAAUUUGUAUUUCAGGGGAGAAAAAAACCUAAAUUAGUGGGAAAUCCCAAUUAGUGGGAGAGUAAGUGGCUGCCACUAGUAGCAAAACCUUAGUUCUUUGAAACUGAUAUACUGGAACUGAGCCAUUAAGCUUGGAAACAACACAAUAGCAUUUAGACAUUAAAUAGGAAGCAAAAUACAGUAAACAAAUAGUGUAGCCAAAUAUGCAAAUAUGUAGUCUCUUCAGCUACACUAAAAUGGACCUUGCUUAGUACCCAUAAGUGAAAGACUAAGGUAAAAUAAAUGAGGCAUAAAUAAAUAUUGCUAGUUUCUAGGAUGGCUGAAUGCUUUCUAAACCAGAAGUGGUUAGAAAGGAACUUUAUUGCACCAAGUCGAUCAUAAGCAAGUUUGCAGUUCACAGGCAUUAUUAUUCAACCUUGAGUCACAAAGGAAACACACUGCAAGAAUAUAUACAGUCUGCAUCAAAUACGAUAAUGUAUCAGUAGGGGAAACCUACUCCUGCCAGGCCAAGGCAGGGUCUGAGCUUAGGUCAGCCAUGAAAAUGAACAUACAGGUUACCAGGAAACAGGAUGAGGACUACACAGAUGCUAGCAUCCUGCCACCAACGGGUAUGUGGAGCAAGAAUUGAAGAUUUAUCUGAGAGGAAAUGAGGAAGAGAAAUACACACAAUGCUAAAAGGAAAGGGGCUGGAAUCAAGUUUAGCAAAAGCAACUAAAA